AAAGGAUACAAAAGCAGUACAGAGUUCAUAAUUCAUUUAUUUUCUGUGUUUCUGCAAGAAGGUCACUUAAAAGUGAUUAAGGGAGCUACUCAGGGGGAAGUGUACAGGUGAGAGGUGGAGUACCAGAUUGGAAGAGCCCGCCCACGGGACGAGGGAGAGAGAGAACGGCGGAGAUGCGGGAGUUGCAGCACGGGAGGGGCGAGGAGGAAAAAGUACCGCACUGGGUGAACUAAAUUCACUAAUAAUCAGUAUUAUUUGCCCAAUCGGUAAUUUUAAGGAGACUGACGUCCAUACUGACAGUGUGCUGGUGGAUAAAGCUGGGAAAAUCUCUCUGAGCAAGUUAUGUUAGCCCUGUUAGCUUAGCCAGCUCGGCUAGGUAUGUUUAGCCUGCUCUGCGCUAGCCGUCAACUCUUCGCUGCAGCGCCGCUCCGGAAGACUGUUCUCCGGACUGACUCGUGCUGUCUCCGCCUUCACUGAACACCAGGGCCGCUAACACUGCUACCCAGAUAGCGCUUUGAGUCCCCGCGUGGCUCAAAGUUCCUCUGGCUCCGAGGGAAAACGCUCCGUGCUGCAGGACCACGCGCUCUGCUCCUGCUCAUAUUCACGGACUCUGAGGCAUGAGGUGAUAAAGAAGACCUGGCAGCGAACAGUUCCUCAUACUUAGCAACCAGAACCACUAGAGGGGUGGCAGGAGGGGAGAGGAUGUGUAAGAAGAACAAAAAAACAGGGCCUGUCUGCCCUUCAAUUUCAUUUGCCUCCUUAGGUACAUGCUGUCACACUGCUGGCAGUGAAUGGCACUUCGCAAACAGAGCAAACGAACUGGAUGUCUUACAUUUAAGUAACAAUUCGCAUGCAUCUUAUUUUGGCAAGGGCGUUUACGCUCCAUCAGCUGUGAUGCCAGUGAACAGCGUGAGCAGAAGGAAGCGGUGGAGGGCUGCUGCGAGAACCACUCAGAGGAGACAGAUGGAUGAUCGGGCGUUUGGAGCUAGGCCCUUUGCAGUCGUGUCCACCAUAGCAAUAAGUGGAGAGAGCCAGUCUGCUGCAGGAAAAAUCUGUUUGACCAGCCUGAACUCGACCUAGUGGUGUUUUUAGACUCCUGGUGACCUACAGCAAUGUACAUGCAACACAUCUGAUCCAACUCCUGAUAAUCACUUGAUAAGCAGUGUUCAUUUCUAGUAUGGACCAGUAUGUAUUUUCUGUUCUAACUCUAACUAAUGAGGAUGUGUGAUCAGAUAUUUAGGGAAAAUCUAAAAACAUGAUAAACAGUACUUACUUUUAUUGAAUAGCUUUCCGAGAUCCAGUAAUUUUGUGCUUUUUGCCCAGCACUCUUUACAACAGGCACUUCAGGGCAUAUUUUGCCCUGAUAUAUCGCUUUUUAUCAAACCAAACCAUGUGAAAAUAGGGUAAAAAUGAUUAUUAUAGGUGGUUGACUCCUCCAAUAUAGCGGCCGGCUGCUACGCCAGGAGGCUGGCUUUGUGGCGUCUGUGUAUCUUAGACAUCCUCUAAGAAAAUUACAGGCUGAAUUACCUACUGUUUUUUGCUGAACUUCUUGGUCCUCCGGUAAUUUUAGACCCGUACGGACGCACAUAUCUGAGUUUUGUCACCUCACAUUUAAUAAAAUAGCUACUUGUCCAACUGCCA